AACGAUUAGCCAUUCCGUUCCAAAAGUAAGGAUUAGCUAAUCGUCUCUGUUUUACCUUCCCCAAGCAAAAUCUGCUGCUCCAUCCCACCCUCUCCCUCCCAACAUCAACAGCAGUUUUCUUCGAAUCAAAUCUCCACCGUCUCAGAUCGCCUGUGAGUAAUCUCAACAGCAGUUGCCAGUGAAAAUUGUCCUUUCUUCAAAAACCCAGCCCUAAACCCUUCUCUUCUUUCAAUACUCCAUUCAAACAGGUUGCGGCGUCUCCCUCUUCUGAGGUAUGGCUCUGUUUCUUUAACUUUAGCAUUGAGCGACUCUUUUCAAGUCCAAAAUUAGUCUACUCAGCUUUGAAUUUAGGCCUAUUUUUGCACAGUUACGGUCUAUUGGGGGGUUCUUUGUUUUUUGUUUUUUGUUGGUUUGGUUAAAUCAUGUUAUGGUAUUUGGAUUUAAACAAAAAAAAAAAGAGAAAGACGAAGGUAUUUGUUAAGCCAAUUGUGAAAAAGCAGUAGCAACAGCAACCAAAUGCAGACCAAACAUUUUUUCUUUGCUAAAGGUUCUUGCUUUUCAAACCAUUUUUUCGCCAUUUUUCUUGUAAUUGUUUUUCUUGUUACAGUUCAGAUUUUAGAUUUUUUGGUUGUUGAGUCUUGAAGGCAGUUGUAUUCAGUAAUGGCUGGCUUGCUUUGAUGCAUUGCUUCUGUAUAUCUUUGUAGAAAACGAAUCUGUAUCUAUUUUUAACACAAAUUUGAUUAGUUCAUGCCAAUGGAUUUUUAACAUUAAAUUAGUUAUUGGCGUUAGAAAUUUAGUCUAAGAUGUUAUAUCGAAUCAGUAGCCAUGUAUCGAACAAAAGCUAGAGGUUAGUCAAUUAAAGGUAGCACCUUUAUCUUGUGAGAUAUCCACAGCCCAACAUCUUGCAGAAGCUUGUUACCAGAAGCAUCUUGCUGGUCCACGGACUGCAAGCUUUCGAAAAGAAGUUCCUGUCCGGCUCCUUCAGCUAUUAAAUUGUUACCCUGUUCUAUUUAUGUUGGAGUAGCUAAAAUCUGAGGUUGCAUUUGUCAUUAACAAAUAGAAAUCCAAAAAGAGAGGAAAUUGAUAUCAUCCCCUCCACUUUUUGCUUGGAAUUGCGUGCUUCAAAUGUUCACUAAUAUGGUUAAAAAUUCAUGUUUUAAAAAUUCUGCCUUCUUGUGAAAGUUUGUAGCAGUUUGUUGAAUCAUGCUUCUUAUUGAUUUAACUUUGUAAAUUCCGUGAACAAGUCUAAACCUUUACUGCUGAUUUCAAUGACAUAGCUGCAGCUGUAAUUCACUGCUGAUUCUUGUGAUCCAGGCAUGUGUGCUCUGUUAGAGGCUUGACUUGCAGUCUGGAAGGAUUAAUUCACUGCUGAUUCUUAUGAUCCACUGCUUCAUUUUUUCUCUCGGUCUCAGCGUUUGGUUUGAGGUAUGAAUCUUGAACUUUUCAUAUCUUUGCCUGCCUUUGCCUUGGAUUGUGGCAUGUUCAUGUGUGUAGUCUUCAACCGGAUUCACCAACUGUAUUAUGUUUGAUAUGUGGUUUGAAACACUGAAAAAUUGUACUGCUGGACAGUGAGAUUUUGUUUGAAAUUUUGACUGUUAUACUUUGUUGUUUCAUCUUGUUUUUUGACAAGUAUAAUAAUUUUUCUGUUAUACUUUGUUGUUUUGGAAAAUCCAUAGCCGUUGUGAUGUGUUGUUAGAAAUAAAUUGUUUGGAAGCAUUGCAUCAUGUUAAGGGUACUCUAAUGAUACAACAACUGAAUUCGUAUGUCAUUCAUGCCAUUGGAGACUUGUUGCAUUGAUAUUGAGAUAUUGGUAUUACACAUAUGCAUUGAGAAUGUGAUAGGAUGGCUAAUUGCUUAACAAAGGCUACAAAAGGAGUCUAUCAUUAGCUUUUACUCUUGUCCUGACCUCUUGAUUUUGCUUUCAUGUAUCUAUUUGUUAUUGGUUAUGUUCUUUUGCAAAAGGGAAUCCACAAAUUUUUUUAAUAGGCCGAGAUUAAGUUAUAUAUUGUUAUGAGAGUUAAAAUGCAAGUUUACCAUUGUAUUGACAAACAUCUUUAUAGUUUUUAAAAAGACUAAAUCAUAAGUUUAUCAUUUCUAAAAGAGUCAAAUUAUAAUUUUAUCAUGUAUUUAUUUAAAAUUUUAUAAACAUAAAAGUGAUUAAAGCUGAAAUUUUCCAUUUUAUGGGAGAGUAAGGGACUUGUAUACGCCUUUGCCUUCGCCCUUAGUUCUUUUGUUACCUUCUACAAUACAAAUUUUUUUUCAGUUUGGGUAUUUGACGUACUUGAGUAGCUGCUUGAUAUGUUUGGAAGGUUAAAAAUAAUUGGCGGUGGGGCAUAAUAUGGACCAAGAUGUUGCUGUAGUCCAUGAGGUGGGUGGGAAAUUGAUAAUGUGGCCAAAUUUGUUUUGGCUAAUAAUUCUAGGAGUAAAUCUUAGGAUUGUUUGAGCUAUUUUCGCAGUUAAUUUAUAAUUUAAGAAAAGAUUUGUAGUUUUUUUGUUGUUUUUUAUCACAUCGGGUUAUCGUUGAAUAAGAAGACAUCUUAUAAUACACAUUAUACCUAAAGC
rnacentral:lncRNA from 1 species